rnacentral:lncRNA from 1 species
AACAAUCUAAUGAACUAGAAACCUACCAUAAAUCUCUUCUGGAAAUGGAAUAUGAAGAUGAGAUCGGUCACAUCUAUGUCAUAUUUUGAUGGUGAAUGAGCCAACACAUCAUGAAUGUGUGCAGAAGGAAACAGCAGGAGUGAGGUUAUUAUUUGCUUUAAGUGUUCUUUGAAGUGCAACCAAAGAACCAGGGAUGGACCAGAACUUCAGAACCUUUCUGGAUGAAAAACAGCCUCUCACAUUUCUUUCAUUGGUAAACUUCCCAAUACCAACAAAACACUUUGGAGCAUUACAGCAAGCUGUUUGCUGUUCCUCGUUAGUAUAGUGAAAGACAAGUCCAACAGUUUGCUAAGUUGCAAAUGUGCAGCUGAAGGAGACAUCAAACUCUGGCAAAGGAGCCUGAGAAAAAAUAUACUUUCAGUUCUCCAGCAAAUGAACCUUUUGAAGAUAUUUAUGAAGACCAUGGUCUUUUCAAGAAGAUUAAAGAGAAUGCUAAUUUUCCAAAGGACAAGUAAAACAGAGUUAAAUUAGAAGUCUGCUCUUACUUCCAUCUGAAUCAAUGCUGAAUCUGAGCAUUAACAUGCAGAAACUGGGAUUGUGAUCACAUGGGAUGUCUGUAGCUGAGGAAGGGAGCCUAAGUCUCUUGACUCCUAGUCCUGUGCUUUAUCCACAAAACCACUCUUUGCCUAGAAUUGCUCUUUCCUCUCCAGCACAGCAAAUGAUACAAGAGUUUCUCUAGAUCCAUGACAAAAAUUCACACAACUCUAUUUCCCCUCUGAUUUUGUUUAUUUAGUUAGCUGGUUGAAAGAAACAAGCUGGUGAUCAAGAUGGUGAUAAAUGAGUGAAAAAGACUGGGCCAGAGGAACCAUAAAACUGUGUUCAAGCUGUCCUACAGAGAGGAUGUUAAAUCUUUGCAGCCAUCCAAGUUCACUGCAUCUGAGAGGUCAUUAAUAUAACUUGGUGGACUGUGAAAAUUUAACCCAUUUGGUCCAAUAUGUUUACCAAAAUAUAUUUUAAAAGAGUAUGUAAGGAAGGAAGCUAAGUGAGUGUGAGAGAUAGAAAAGUAUUCUGGAGUGCCUGUUAUAGGGGCUUCCUAGUUUGUCAUAUGUCCAUUUCUUUUCCUCUAUUUUGAGGAAGAAUUAUGAGUUACUUCCUCAUUUUUAAAGAAUAUCCUUUCCUUGGUUUGUGGUAACAGGUUCAAAGAUUUUUGUUGGCAGAUACUUUAUGAAGCCAAUGUACCUCCACAAAAACAAAAAUCGCUUAUUUUUCUAAAUAAACUGUAUUCUUCCCUAACCA